GCUUGUCUCAAAGAUUAAGCCAUGCAUGUCUAAGUAUAAACGAUUUUAUACGUGAAACUGCGAAUGGCUCAUUAUAUCAGUUAUAGUUUAUUUGAUGGUCCUUACUACUUGGAUAACCGUAGUAAUUCUAGAGCUAAUACAUGCAUCAAGCCCUGACUUCGGAAGGGGUGUAUUUAUUAGAUACAAACCAACCGCUUCACGGCGUUUCGGUGAGUCAUGAUAACUUUGCGAAUCGCAUGGCCUCGCGCCGGCGAUGAAUCAUUCAAGUUUCUGCCCUAUCAGCUGUCGAUGGUAGGGUCUUGGCCUACCAUGGCGUUAACGGGUGACGGAGAAUUAGGGUUCGGUUCCGGAGAGGGAGCCUGAGAAAUGGCUACCACAUCCAAGGAAGGCAGCAGG
rnacentral:rRNA from 1 species